rnacentral:rRNA from 1 species
AGUUUGAUCCUGGCUCAGGACGAACGCUGGCGGCGUGCCUAACACAUGCAAGUCGAGCGGAGACAGUGAGUAGCUUGCUAUGAGCUUUUUAGCGGCGGGACGGUGUGAAAACGGGUGGGCCACCUCUCCCCGAGCGGGGGAAUACCACCCGGAAGGGGGUUUAUUAUCCCCGAUAGGCCCCGGGGAUCCCUUGGUUGGGAGUAAAAGUUUUUCGGUUGGGGGGGGCUCCGCUCCAAUUAGGUAUUGGGGGAGGAACCGCCCCCCCAAGCCGGAAAAUCGGUACCCCCCCUGAAGGGGUAAUCGCCCACAUUGGGAUUGAGCACCGGCCCAAAAUUCUUACGGGGGGGCAGCAGUGGGGAAUAUUGGGCAAUGGGGGGAACCCUGACCCAGCAACGCCGCGUGGAGGAAGAAGGUUUUCGGAUCGUAAACUCCUGUCCUUGGAGACGAGUAGAAGACGGUAUCCAAGGAGGAAGCCCCGGCUAACUACGUGCCAGCAGCCGCGGUAAUACGUAGGGGGCAAGCGUUGUCCGGAAUAAUUGGGCGUAAAGGGCGCGUAGGCGGCUCGGUAAGUCUGGAGUGAAAGUCCUGCUUUUAAGGUGGGAAUUGCUUUGGAUACUGUCGGGCUUGAGUGCAGGAGAGGUUAGUGGAAUUCCCAGUGUAGCGGUGAAAUGCGUAGAGAUUGGGAGGAACACCAGUGGCGAAGGCGACUAACUGGACUGUAACUGACGCUGAGGCGCGAAAGUGUGGGGAGCAAACAGGAUUAGAUACCCUGGUAGUCCACACUGUAAACGAUGAAUGCUAGGUGUAGGGGGUAUCGACCCCUUCUGUGCCGCAGUCAACACAAUAAGCAUUCCGCCUGGGGAGUACGGCCGCAAGGUUGAAACUCAAAGGAAUUGACGGGGGCCCGCACAAGCAGCGGAGCAUGUGGUUUAAUUCGACGCAACGCGAAGAACCUUACCAGGUCUUGACAUCCACUUAAACUUACAGAGAAGUAAGGUGUGCUUGCACAAAGUGAGACAGGUGGUGCAUGGUUGUCGUCAGCUCGUGUCGUGAGAUGUUGGGUUAAGUCCCGCAACGAGCGCAACCCUUAUCUUCAGUUACUAACGCGUAGAGGUGAGGACUCUGAAGAGACUGCCGGGGACAACUCGGAGGAAGGUGGGGACGACGUCAAAUCAUCAUGCCCCUUAUGACCUGGGCUACACACGUGCUACAAUGGCCACGACAGAGAGAAGCGAAAUCGCAAGGUAGAGCGGAACUCAAAAAAGUGGUCCCAGUUCGGAUUGUGGGCUGCAACCCGCCCACAUGAAGUCGGAGUUGCUAGUAAUCGCGGAUCAGCAUGCCGCGGUGAAUACGUUCCCGGGCCUUGCACACACCGCCCGUC